AUUGAACGCUGGCGGCAGGCCUAACACAUGCAAGUCGAACGGUAACAGGAAGAAGCUUGCUUCUUUGCUGACGAGUGGCGGACGGGUGAGUAAUGUCUGUGAAACUGCCUGAUGGAGGGGGAUAACUACUGGAAACGGUAGCUAAUACCGCAUAACGUCGCAAGACCAAAGAGGGGGACCUUCGGGCCUCUUGCCAUCGUAUGUGCCCAGAUGGGAUUAGCUAGUAGGUGGGGUAACGGCUCACCUAGGCGACGAUCCCUAGCUGGUCUGAGAGGAUGACCAGCCACACUGGAACUGAGACACGGUCCAGACUCCUACGGGAGGCAGCAGUGGGGAAUAUUGCACAAUGGGCGCAAGCCUGAUGCAGCCAUGCCGCGUGUAUGAAGAAGGCCUUCGGGUUGUAAAGUACUUUCAGCGGGGAGGAAGGGAGUAAAGUUAAUACCUUUGCUCAUUGACGUUACCCGAAGAAGAAGCACCGGCUAACUCCGUG
rnacentral:rRNA from 1 species